rnacentral:rRNA from 1 species
UUGGAGGGCAAGUCUGGUGCCAGCAGCCGCGGUAAUUCCAGCUCCAAUAGCGUAUAUUAAAGUUGUUGCAGUUAAAAAGCUCGUAGUUGAACUUCGGGGUCUACCCAUUGGUCAGGCUUAAUUGUCUGCACUGGUGAGAUGGAUCUCUACCUUCUGAGGAACUUUCAUGCCAUUUAUUUAGUGUGAUUGGAAAUCAGGACUGUUACUUUGAAAAAAUUAGAGUGUUUAAAGCAGACUAUCGUCUGAAUACAUUAGCAUGGAAUAAUGAAAUAGGACGGACUGAUUCUAUUUCGUUGGUUUCUAGGAUCACCGUAAUGAUUAAUAGGGAUAGUUGGGGGCAUUAGUAUUCAAUUGUCAGAGGUGAAAUUCUUGGAUUUAUUGAAGACUAACUACUACGAAAGCAUUUGCCAAGGAUGUUUUCAUUAAUCAAGAACGAAAGUUAGGGGAUCGAAGACGAUCAGAUACCGUCGUAGUCUUAACCAUAAACUAUGCCGACUAGGGAUCGGACGAAGUUAAUUUUAUAAUGACGCGUUCGGCGCCUUACGGAAAC